CCAAGGUACUGGCAGAUGAAGACGUCAGAGUACUUCAGAGUCACACAGAGAGGAGGCCUACAGCUUGGAAGUCAUGGAUCUUAUAGCUUGAGAAGCUUGCUGUUUGAGUUUGAUACCCGGGACAACCCCAAGGGGCUCUGUGACCUCUGCCCCAGCCUGGAGAAGCAACUGCUAGUGUUCCCGGGACACAAGUGUGGGAGUCUGCAACUUGUGGACCUGGCGAGCACAAAGCCUGGCACCUCGUCUGCUCCAUUCACGAUCAAUGCACAUCAGAGUGACAUAGCCUGUGUGUCUCUAAACCAGCCAGGCACUGUAGUGGCCUCAGCCUCCCAGAAGGGUACCCUUAUUCGCCUCUUUGACACACAAUCCAAGGAGAAACUGGUGGAGCUGCGCCGAGGCACUGACCCUGCCACCCUCUACUGCAUUAACUUCAGCCACGACUCCUCCUUCCUCUGCGCUUCCAGUGAUAAGGGUACUGUCCAUAUCUUUGCUCUCAAGGAUACCCGCCUCAACCGCCGCUCCGCGCUGGCUCGCGUGGGCAAGGUGGGGCCUAUGAUUGGGCAGUACGUGGACUCUCAGUGGAGCCUGGCGAGCUUCACUGUGCCUGCUGAGUCAGCUUGCAUCUGCGCCUUCGGUCGCAAUACUUCCAAGAACGUCAACUCUGUCAUUGCCAUCUGCGUAGAUGGGACCUUCCACAAAUAUGUCUUCACUCCUGAUGGAAACUGCAACAGAGAGGCUUUCGACGUGUACCUUGACAUCUGUG
rnacentral:misc_RNA from 1 species